rnacentral:rRNA from 1 species
AUUGAACGCUGGCGGCAGGCCUAACACAUGCAAGUCGAACGAGCGGCGGACGGGUGAGUAAUGUAUGGGGAUCUGCCUGAUGGAGGGGGAUAACUACUGGAAAAGGUAGCUAAUUCCGCCUACCAUCAUUUUAACCCAUAUGGGAUUAGCUUGUAGGUUAGGUAACGGCUAACCUAGGGGACGAUCCCUAGCUGGUCUGAGAGGAUGAUCAGCCACACUGGGACUGAGACACGGCCCAGACUCCUACGGGAGGCAGCAGUGGGGAAUAUUGCACAAUGGGCGCAAGCCUGAUGCAGCCAUGCCGCGUGUAUGAAGAAGGCCUGCGGGUUGUAAAGUACUUUCAGUCGGGAGGCGUUACCGACAGAAGAAGCACCGGCUAACUCCGUGCCAGCAGCCGCGGUAAUUC